UUUAUCUCUCUGUCUGUGUCUUGUUCUAUCCCCCUCUCCCUGUUCUUGCAACUCACCCUCUAUUUCUGUUUCUGAUUCCCUCUCUCUGUCUCCCUGUCUCUCUCUGUCUCCUGAUUUUCUCUCUCCAACUUUCUCUCUAUACCUCUCUGAUUCUCCCCCUGUCUCUUUUUCUGUUCCCUUCUCCCCGUCCAUCUCUCCUGGCCUGCCACCUUCAGGGGUCCCCACGGAGUCUGGACCAUGGAGGAGCGAGGUCUGGCCCCCAAGUUCGACACCACCUUUGAGAGCGCGCGGCCCACGCAGACCCAUAUGGCGCUGGUGCAGCUGGAGCGCGUGGGCCUCCUCCGCUUCCUGGUCAGCCAGAACGUGGACGGGCUCCAUGUGCGCUCAGGCUUCCCCAGGGACAAACUGGCAGAGCUUCACGGGAACAUGUUUGUGGAAGAAUGUGCCAAGUGUAAGACGCAGUACGUCCGGGACACAGUCGUGGGCACCAUGGGCCUGAAGGCCACGGGCCGGCUCUGCACCGUGGCUAAGGCAAGGGGGCUGCGAGCCUGCAGGUGAGCCACCCCCACCCAGGCCCUGGGCUCCAGGGGAGGCUGCGAGGCUCC
rnacentral:sRNA from 1 species